rnacentral:rRNA from 1 species
AUUGAACGCUGGCGGCAUGCCUUACACAUGCAAGUCGAACGGCAGCACGGGAGCAAUCCUGGUGGCGAGUGGCGAACGGGUGAGUAAUAUAUCGGAACGUGCCCAGUCGUGGGGGAUAACGUAGCGAAAGCUACGCUAAUACCGCAUACGAUCUAUGGAUGAAAGCGGGGGAUCGCAAGACCUCGCGCGAUUGGAGCGGCCGAUAUCAGAUUAGGUAGUUGGUGGGGUAAAGGCUCACCAAGCCAACGAUCUGUAGCUGGUCUGAGAGGACGACCAGCCACACUGGGACUGAGACACGGCCCAGACUCCUACGGGAGGCAGCAGUGGGGAAUAUUGGACAAUGGGCGCAAGCCUGAUCCAGCCAUGCCGCGUGCAGGAUGACGGUCCUAUGGAUUGUAAACUGCUUUUAUACAGGAAGAAACACUCCGACGUGUCGGAGCUUGACGGUACUGUAAGAAUAAGGAUCGGCUAAC